AAAAGUUAGAGAAAUUUCUCAUUAAAGAUGAGCAGUUAAGCAAGGAGGAACCUGAAGGAAGGAUCAAGUCUUCCCUUUUCUCGGGGUCAUUGUCAAUGGCUCUAUGUUAUAUAAAGAGAGUGUUCUGUUCAGGAGCCCUCCAUCCACAUCCUCGAAUCUUAUGCUUGCAGGGAUCACCAGAUGGACCUGAACAAUAUGUUGCAAUCAUGAAUGCAAUAUUCUCUAC